CACGUAGGGUGCAAGCGUUGUCCGGAAUUAUUGGGCGUAAAGAGCUCGUAGGCGGUCUGUCGCGUCUGCUGUGAAAUCCCGGGGCUCAACCCCGGGCUUGCAGUGGAUACGGGCAGACUAGAGUUCGGUAGGGGAGACUGGAAUUCCUGGUGUAGCGGUGAAAUGCGCAGAUAUCAGGAGGAACACCGGUGGCGAAGGCGGGUCUCUGGGCCGAUACUGACGCUGAGGAGCGAAAGCGUGGGUAGCAAACAGG
rnacentral:rRNA from 1 species